rnacentral:rRNA from 1 species
CAGAGUCGAAAGGCGUGAGGAGAGGAGCCGCGGCCCAUCAGCUAGUGGUGAGGUAAUGGCUUACCAAGGCUACGACGGGUAGGGGAUCUGAGAGAUGUCCCCCACACUGGAACUGAAACACGGUCCAGACGCCUACGGGUGGCAGCAGUGAGGAAUAUUGGACAAUGGGCGAAAGCCCGAUCCAGCAACGCCCUGACGGUAGUCGUAUGCUCGUCUCCGAGACUAAGCCAUGCAAGUCCAAGUACACGUCCUUGAACGACGGAAACUGCGAACGGCUCAUUAAAUCAGUUGCGAUCUACUCGGCGUUCCGCGCCGCCGGAUAACCGUAGUAAUUCUAGGGCUAAUACGUGCGAAGCGCCCGAAGCCGCGAGGCGACGGGCGUUCUCGCCGGAUGUAGGAACCGACCCGGGGACCGCCGGGGCAACCCGGCGCCCCCGAGACGGGGCGAACCACGGUGAAAUGACGGAUCGUCGGCCCCGCGCCGGCGACUCGCCGAAUGAGUUUCUGA